AUCCGGGAUCAGACGGGUUCUGGCGGGCCACCCGGAGCGUACGACGCGGUGGUGCGAAGUUGUGCGCGUCUGGUGUCUCGUUUCUUAGUUGAUUUUUGGUUUAUUUUAUCAGUUUUACCCUCAGGCAUCGAUUUGACAAAGACCAAGAUGCAGAAUAAACACCGCUAAGACCGCAGAUUCCUGCUGCACCAGGAGCGUGGCCCCAGUUUAUCAGACCAUAAAGCAAGUGAGAGCUACUAAGAACGUGAUACCCUGUGCCCGCGAUGACGGACUCGUCUGAGAAAAAAGCUCACCGACGUCGCGACGAGUGGGUUUGAAGCGCCAACGGUGGAGUAAGUGCCUGACAGUGGCGCUGCGGACGGUAAGCACACGUGACCGUUGGGAAGUAUUUCUGCACUUUACUUUACUUUGAACC